CCUCGAGGGAAGAACUCGACAUUCGACAAGCAAGGGCACAAGUCUUACACAUACGUAUUCGACAUUUUUUGAUUUGCUGUCAUUUCAGUGUCGCAAUUAACAAAUAGAACUAUACAAUGUCAGGAAGAGAAGGAGGUAAAAAGAAACCCUUAAAGGCCCCCAAGAAGGACAACAAAGAGCUUGAUGAUGAUGAUAAGGCUGUCCUGCAGAAACGGAGGGAAGAGGAGAAGGCAUUGAAAGAAUUGGCUGCUAAGGCCGCUAAGGGACCAUUGGGAGGUGGAGGUAUCAAGAAAUCAGGAAAGAAGUAAUGAUACUGAACCUUUUUCUAUUGAUACAAAGAUUUUUUGAAUACAAGUGCAUACAAUCUGUUCUCUUAA